CUCCAAGACUCCCCAACAGCCUCCCCAACAACCCUCCCCAGAGCUCUGCCCUUGUGGGCACUCUGGUUUAUAGUCUGACCCUUCAGGGACAUGUCAUAAUUGAAGCAAACACCACCCAGACUUUGCAGAGGAAUUUCUAAAGCCAAAACACUUUACUCAUAAACACCACACAAGAUAUUCAGAUUGAGGCUAAAUGAUACUACUGCCCCAUCUCCCUAACACCCUCCCAGCUCAUGCAAUGUGCCGUGCCCUCCCCCUGCACCCCACAUCCCGUCUCCACUCCACUCUCAACAAGCUUUCUAGCCACUUUUUCCUGCCCAAGACUUGAGCCUCUGCUCCCCAGCGACCUAUGCACUGCCCCUCACACUGCUGGUUGCUCCAUCAGCUUGGGGAUCCCGUCCUCGCCUGGUUCUUUGUAGGAGAGCCCCUAGCUCCUUAGGGCAGGGACACCAAGGGGGAGCAGUCACAGGCUAGGAAGGAGGCCCCAGAGGGGGAUGGAGCCGUUAUGAACAUAGGACUGGAAAGAGCCUCGGGGUCACCGAGUCCAGCCCGUGCUAUGGCCGGCAACCCCGUCACGCCAUCCCCUUCGUAAACUUACCAAGCUCCACCUGAAGCAUUGUCUCCAUGCGUUUCCUUUCCCUCCCCACCGCUAGGGAGGCGCUCGGGUCCAGAGGCUCCCCAAACAGCAUGCACAGACUCAGGCCCUGGAUCCCCCGCCCCAGACCGGAGGCUGGGCUGGACUCAGAACAGGAGGAGUGAGAGACUCUGUGUCCCGUUCUCUAGUCUCCUCAGGCAUCCAGCUCCCCACAACCUGUACAGACGCUGGAGGUGGACAGAUCGCUCCCUGUAUUACUACAAAGCUUGGAACACUGGGGAACCAAACAAUGACCAUGGUGUCGAGUACUGUGUCGAGCUGCCGAAUUACAGGGAUUUUAAGAACUGGAAUGAUAAAGACUGUCAGACGAAAAAUGGCUACGUUUGCAAGUAUCGACCCUAGCGAGGGGAGUCGCUCUCCUGCGCCUGAAGGGGGAGCUCAGCGCCUGGGAUGUAAAAGAACUGGGCUCCUUGGGCAUGAUCAGACAAGA